CCUACGGGUGGCAGCAGUCGAGAAUCAUGCACAAUGGGGGAAACCCUGAUGGUGCGACGCCGCGUGGGGGAAUGAAGGUCUUCGGAUUGUAAACCCCUGUCAUGUGGGAGCAAAUUAAAAAGAUAGUACCACAAGAGGAAGAGACGGCUAACGCUGUGCCAGCAGCCGCGGUAAUACAGAGGCAUCAAGCGUUGUUCGGAAUCACUGGGCGUAAAGCGUGCGUAGGCUGUGUCGUAAGUCGUGUGUGAAAGGCGCGGGCUCAACCCGCGGACGGCACAUGAUACUGCGCGUCUAGAGUAAUGGAGGGGGAACCGGAAUUCUCGGUGUAGCAGUGAAAUGCGUAGAUAUCGAGAGGAACACUCGUGGCGAAGGCGGGUUGCUGGACAUUAACUGACGCUGAGGCACGAAGGCCAGGGGAGCGAAAGGGAUUAGAUACCCCUGUAGUC
rnacentral:rRNA from 1 species